GAUAUGUGCACGUUCAAUUAUAAAUUGAGCAAAUACUUGCUCAGUAAAAAAAUGUAUACUUUUAUAGAAUGAUUUUGGGAUCCUCUUCAAAAGAGAAAUAAUAGCUAUAGAAAAAUAUAUACUAUGAGUAUGUUUAUUUUAUAGUAUGGCCAGAGUUUGAGGAAAUUUUUUUUAUCUGUAUGGCCAUCAUACAAUUAACAAUUAAUUGGAACUAUGUUUUCUAGGAAAUAUUAUGGUGACCAAAUACAGGGAGAUUCUUUUGUUGAUUAAAACUUCUUAUUUUGAAACGUAUUGAAUUUUUUUUAAAAGAACUUUGCUUAAAAAAUUAAGGAACAAGCAACUCUAAAAUGUUACAUUUCCAUUAAUUUGGGAGUGAAAAAAUUACCAACAUUCAAUUUUCA